rnacentral:misc_RNA from 1 species
AUUUGCUUUAUGUAGCACAAAAAGCAAAAAGAAAGAAGGCUAAUAAUGUGAAGCUUGAGAAAGGAGAUGCGGAAGAGCGCAGCAAAGUAGGGGAUCCCUCAGCAUCUACUACCACUAAUCAACAUAAUGAAAAGAAAACUACUACCAGUUUGGACGCAUCACAUUGCAGGUGUCCACUACGAAGUAAGCAACACAAAGAGGUGAAGCUUGAACAGUGGGAAGCAGGAGGGAACAUGCAUAACAAAACACCGGUAGCAGAUUCUCCAUAUUGUAGAAGUCAAAACCCCAGCCUUCCAGCAUCCUCUCCAAGUUGUCAGCCAGUCCGGGUGAAGCUUGAAAAACCAGAUAAUCUGUUUUGUGCAGCAGAAAAAGUAAAAGGGAGGGAGACCAACAAUGUGAAGCUUGACACAGGAGACUUGGAAGGGAAUUUGGUUGCUGCAUCUUAUAAAGGAAAAUAUUCCACAGCCUCUGAGAUGACAGUACUUGGCAAGAAAAAGAUGUUACCCUCGGAGACGCAGAAUCGGGAUAUGUACUUCAAUCCACACUUCACUGUUUCUAUGCUGCCUGCUUAUGUCUCCAGAAACUUCCAAUUGGAAAUACCUGCUGACUUUUUCAAGAAACGUGUGAAUGAAGAGGAAACCAUUGUAAAUCUACGAGUUUCUAAUGGGAGAAGUUGGCGUGCAAAGUUGUUUGAUAUUCAAUCAAAUUGUCCAAAGAUGGAAUCAUCAGGUUGGAGGGACUUUGUGAUCGACAACAAUUUAAAAGAGCAUGAUACUUGUGUCUUUGAGCUGAAUGACGGCAUUGAGCCAAUGCUACUGGAUGUGACAAUUUUCCGAGCCACAACUCCCGUUUCCUGAAAGAUAGUCAAGUCACCCAUUUUGCAAGCACUUAAGCUUUCUAUCCAUCUUGUGUAUUUUGGUGCCCUCUCCUUAUAUUUGCUACUAUUUCCUAAACGUUGUACUAACAACUGUUUAAAACUUUCCUUUUCACCUCCAGCAUAUAUGUUUACUUGUUAUUUUUUGGUUUCAUGCUGCUUUGUACUAAUUUAGAGAGCAAGUUGAAAUAUUAGUAGAAAUUAGGGUUGUCCAAACAUUGAAU